UCUGUUUAUUAGGAAAAGUCUUGUGAGUGUGCGUGAGAGUGGAGCCGGGUUUUCACCGUGUUGAGCCUCUGAGAACUCCGACUGGUUUUUCGUUUUGGUUUCGUUCGAAGGAUUAGGAUUUGAUUCGGAUUCCGGACCGAGGAGGUUCGGUGGCGAGCCAUUAGGACGAGCGAUUCAGACGGAACGGUGCAUGGUCUGGCCAACUGUGGGAUUCAUUCCGAGGAGCUUCUGACACCAUCUCACUUCACUUGUGACACAGAUAAGGACAUAACACAAAAAUCUACCCGGGUAGUAACCUUAAGAACUGAACUUUGAACAUUACACACACAGAACAUGAACAUAAACUGAACUCUAACCUUCUACAAAAGAAGGAGGGACACUUUCUUUUGAACUUUUUUUUCAUUUUUGAUUUAUUUUAUUAUUUUUCGACCAAUUAAAAAGAGCUCUAUUUUUCUGUAUAUUUUAUUUUCAUGCACUGCAAAAAUACUUACCUGUUAUGGCAAUAAAUGUCAACUAUUAA